CACGAACCUGCCCCGCACGCUCGGCUGAAGGAGCGGCGCGGAGUCCGAGACCCAGGGUGUGGCUGUGCUAACCGGCCCGCACCUCCCAGGUGGCACACUAUACUGUCAUUGGUGGAACAAUUUGCAUCCCAAAAUGUCCAGUAAGAGACAGAUUGAUGCAGAAGGAAUGCGAUUUAAUGACAGAUGAGAAAGCAAAUGCUAUUGGUUCCUGUAAAUGACCGAGCUCAGGGAUGUGAAAGCUGCAAACCUGUCCUAUCAAAAAGAUUGUUGAUUGAGAAGAAGCUGAUACCAUAAUUAUGAAGGUUGUGGAUAACCAUGUCUUU